UACGUAGGGUGCAAGCGUUGUCCGGAAUUAUUGGGCGUAAAGAGCGUGUAGGCGGCCCGAUUAGUCCGCUGUGAAAGUCCAGGGCUCAACCCUGGAAUGCCGGUGGAUACUGUCGGGCUAGAGUCCGGAAGGGGCGAGUGGAAUUCCUGGUGUAGCGGUGAAAUGCGCAGAUAUCAGGAGGAACACCGGUGGCGAAGGCGGGUCUCUGGGCCGGAACUGACGCUGAGGAGCGAAAGCGUGGGGAGCGAACAGG
rnacentral:rRNA from 1 species